AAUAAGAUCAUUUUUCAGUUUUUAGAUAUAAUGUUUUGACUCUUCGUCUUAUUUGAAUUUUUUGCGAUUAAUAUUUUUAUUGUUACUAGAUGAUAAAACAUGAAUAAUACUUUAUGCGUGACUAAAUUUUUAAGUUUUUGCGCAAAUUUUUUAAAUAAGACGAAUGAUCAAACUUUAGAUACAGGAAUCAAAAAAUAAAGUUAUU
rnacentral:pre_miRNA from 1 species